rnacentral:lncRNA from 1 species
AAUAAAAACCAUUAUUAUAGUUAAAACUUUUUUUUUAAGUUAUUUGUUCGCAAUUGGUUAUUUUUGUUUUUUUAGACACUAUGGAGAAUACAAUAAACAAUUUAGUUAACGCUUUGAAACCUUCAUCAAGUUCCUCAAGUAAGUUUUUCAUGGUAAAAUGCUAGUUCAGUGGUCUAUGCAGGCAGCACGUAGAAAACAAAUAAAAACUUGACUACAACAUUCUGAAAUUAGAGCUGAGAUUUCUAAAAGACAGACUAUAAAACGCCAAAAAAUCGAUGAAAAAGAAAAAAGAAAGUUAGAGCAACAAUUAACAUUAUUAACUAUUAGUGAAAUUCUGAAUUUAUUUAAAAACUUAUCUACUAAGCAAAUUGAUGAUUUAAAUGAUGUUAUGUGUGAAAGAAUUGUUGGGAGAAAUUUUUGCCAUGAAUGGUAUGAUUCCGAAAUGUAUAUUCUUGUAUAUUGGCAGAGUAGAAAAACUUAAGAAAGCACAGAAAGGCAUUAUACACACUAUUUCUUAUUGGACUAGAGAAGAAAAUGAUACUGAAGCAGUUGAUUAUUAUAUGAAAAAAUUCCAGCUAGUUGCUGACAUUGUAUCCGGUGAGUUGAUGUUUUCCUAAUGUAAA